rnacentral:rRNA from 1 species
GAUGAACGCUGGCGGCGUGCCUAAUACAUGCAAGUCGAGCAAUGCGGGGACGGGUGAGUAACACGUGGAUAACCUCCUAUAAGACUGGGAUAACUUCGGGAAACCGGAGCUAUACCGGAUCUUUAUGGAUGGAUCCGCGCUGCAUUAGCUAGGUGGUAAGGUAACGGCAUACCAAGGCAACGAUGCAUAGCCGACCUGGGAGGGUGAGCGGCCAAGAUGAAACUGAAAAACGGUCAAGAGUCCUAGGGUAGGCAGAAGGAGGGAGUCUGCCGGAAUGGGCGAAAGCCUGACGGAGCAACGCCGCGUGAGUGAGGAAGGUCUUCGGAGCGUAAGACUCUGUUAUUAGGGCAACGGUACCUAAUCAGAAAGCCACGGCGAACUACGUGCCAGCAGCCGCGGUAAUAC